GCUUGUUCUCGGGGCGGGGUGAAACUCCCCACCGGCGGUAUGAAAAGCAAUUUUCAAGCCCGCGAGCGCCUGAAAUGGAAGCCGAUUCGCAUGCCAUUUCAGGGUCAGCAGAUCCGGUGAGAUGCCGGAGCCGACGGUUAAAGUCCGGAUGGAAGAGAGCGAAU
rfam:Brucella melitensis biovar Abortus 2308 chromosome II, complete sequence, strain 2308